GUAACACUGGCUGCACAUGUACUAAAAUUAGAAUUAUACAGAGAAGAUUAGCACGGCCAUUGAGCAAGGAUGACAUGCAAAUUUGUGAAGUGUUUGAAGUGUUC